GUAGGUGAACCUGCGGAAGGAUCAUUAACACGUAUCCAACGUUAAACAACCCUGUGAACCUUGAACGUGCUCUCGUACACGCUCUAGCAGCAAUCCCUGGUAAAUCAUUGUUGACCAGCUAUUGAGUCUGGGACUUCUGCUAGAAAACCAUACGAUACGAGCGCCAGAGUAAGUGCGGCCUGGCAUCCUAGCAAUCUGUCAGUGGUUGCGCAAGGAUGGCGCAGUAAACGAUCGCUGUAGGCCCACACGGCCGGCGACCGGGCCUCUGUGCUUCGGCACCUAAUGACACCAGUUUUCUGACCCGGUGCGCUGUAACAACCGCACCACAAACUCGAACAACUGUUAACAAUGGAUAUCUUGGUUCUU
rnacentral:misc_RNA from 1 species